UUCCUACUCCCUCUGUCCGGAAAUACUUGUCGAAGAAAUGGAUAAAAAUGAAUGUAUCUAGAACUAAAAUACAUCUAGAUAUAUUCAUUUCUCCGACGAGUAUUUCCGGACGGAGGGAGUAAUAU
rnacentral:pre_miRNA from 1 species